rnacentral:rRNA from 1 species
UACAGAGGUCCCAAGCGUUGUUCGGAUUCACUGGGCGUAAAGGGUGCGUAGGUGGCCGGUUAAGUCUGACGUGAAAUCUCCGAGCCUAACUCGGAAACUGCAUCGGAAACUGUCCGGCUCGAGGGUUGGAGGGGGGACUGGAAUACUUGGUGUAGCAGUGAAAUGCGUAGAUAUCAAGUGGAACACCAGUGGCGAAGGCGAGUCCCUGGACAACUCCUGACACUGAGGCACGAAAGCUAGGGGAGCAAACAGG